rnacentral:lncRNA from 1 species
GGAAAGGAACUUGCCAGCCAAGUCUAACCAGCAGUGCAAACAGGUCUUUGAGCUGAUCUGGUUCUGGAGCUUCCACCACAGUUUUUUCCUGAUGGGCCUUUGGCAGUUUCUCACACAUGGCAUAUGUAGUCAGACCCCAGAUUGAAGACUCCAUCAGAGGCAUUCAGCAGCUUCCAAGCCACACAGAUGCAGCAAGCAUCAAGCUUUGUUUUGAAAUACCCAUCACCUUUGGAGUUCAUUCAAGCCAACCCCAUAUACUCACAGGACUACACAAGACACAUGAGCCAUGACAUCCAUAUGAUUUGUGUCUGGAACCCUGAUUCAAGCCAUGGGCACUCCUUUUAUUUCUUAUGAUUUUGUCGCUGUUAAGAAUAUUUUGUUAAUUGAUUUGUACCACAUUUACUCAUGGAUUGAGUUGACAAUAAACUCAUAAGUUUUUGGAUGUGUAAGAGGAAAUACAUUUCAGCUGCAUUCAGUUAUUAUUUCUUUAUUGGUCAGAGUUUGUAAAUAAAUGUUAGAGAAUUGUCCUUCCAUGGAAAUAAUGUUUUUCUGUUUGAUAACAGUUCUAUAUUUAAAUAUACAGUAAUGUGUAUUUACUGUACAGUAGAUGUUGUAAACAGGCUGCCAGUAACUUGGAAAGAUGAAGAGAUUGCAUUAGACUUUAAUAAUGUUUUUUAAUUUAAACUAAUUUCAAGAAGAGGCCACAUCUUCAUUUGAUUAUCUUUAAUUGAAUUGCUUAACUUUGCUUUCAGUGAUUAAAAGAUAAAAAUGGAACAUGAUCAUUUAUGCUCAGCAUGGCAUGUAACCAAGUCCUGUAAUGCAGAAUCAUAAAUUGUACUGACAUGAAUAAUAAAAAAUAAAUGCACUAGACGUCUCC